UACGAGGGGGGCGAGCGUUGUUCGGAAUUAUUGGGCGUAAAGGGCGCGUAGGCGGCGCUCCAAGUUAGGCGUGAAAGUCCUGGGCUCAACCCGGGAACUGCGCUUGAUACUGGAGUGCUUGAGGAUGGAAGAGGGUCGUGGAAUUCCCAGUGUAGAGGUGAAAUUCGUAGAUAUUGGGAAGAACACCGGUGGCGAAGGCGGCGACCUGGUCCAUUACUGACGCUGAGGCGCGACAGCGUGGGGAGCAAACAGG
rnacentral:rRNA from 1 species